AUGGACGAAAGUCUGACGGAGCAACGCCGCGUGAGUGAUGAAGGCUUUCGGGUCGUAAAACUCUGUUGUUAGGGAAGAACAAGUGCUAGUUGAAUAAGCUGGCACCUUGACGGUACCUAACCAGAAAGCCACGGCUAACUACGUGCCAGCAGCCGCGGUAAUACGUAGGUGGCAAGCGUUAUCCGGAAUUAUUGGGCGUAAAGCGCGCGCAGGUGGUUUCUUAAGUCUGAUGUGAAAGCCCACGGCUCAACCGUGGAGGGUCAUUGGAAACUGGGAGACUUGAGUGCAGAAGAGGAAAGUGGAAUUCCAUGUGUAGCGGUGAAAUGCGUAGAGAUAUGGAGGAACACCAGUGGCGAAGGCGACUUUCUGGUCUGUAACUGACACUGAGGCGCGAAAGCGUGGGGAGCAAACAGGAUUAGAUACCCUGGGUA
rnacentral:rRNA from 1 species